GACGAACGCUGGCGGCGUGCUUAACACAUGCCAGUCGAACGGAAAGGCCCUGCUUUUGUGGGGUGCUCGAGUGGCGAACGGGUGAGUAACACGUGAGUAACCUGCCCUUGACUUUGGGAUAACUUCAGGAAACUGGGGCUAAUACCGGAUAGGAGCUCCUGCUGCAUGGUGGGGGUUGGAAAGUUUCGGCGGUUGGGGAUGGACUCGCGGCUUAUCAGCUUGUUGGUGGGGUAGUGGCUUACCAAGGCUUUGACGGGUAGCCGGCCUGAGAGGGUGACCGGCCACAUUGGGACUGAGAUACGGCCCAGACUCCUACGGGAGGCAGCAGUGGGGAAUAUUGCACAAUGGGCGGAAGCCUGAUGCAGCAACGCCGCGUGCGGGAUGACGGCCUUCGGGUUGUAAACCGCUUUCGCCUGUGACGAAGCGCGAGUGACGGUAAUGGGUAAAGAAGCACCGGCUAACUACGUG
rnacentral:rRNA from 1 species